CUCUCGGUAGCCAAGUUGGUUUAAGGCGCAAGACUGUAAAUCUUGAGAUCGGGCGUUCGACUCGCCCCCGGGAGAUAUUUUU
rnacentral:tRNA from 1 species